GAUGAAGAACGUAGCGAAAUGCGAUAAGUAAUGUGAAUUGCAGAAUUCAGUGAAUCAUCGAAUCUUUGAACGCACCUUGCACCCUUUGGCAUUCCGAAGGGUAUGCUCGUUUGAGUGUCAUUGUACUCUCACACUCUCCGAUCCUAUGGAUUCGGGGAGCGGUGGACUUGGGUGUUGCUGCCUUUCCCUGUGGCUCACCUCAAAUGCGUCAGUGCACCUCUUGGUUGGACAUAGUACGGCGUGAUAAGUGUCUUCGCCGGCACCUCGCAAGAGGGUGGCCGAUCGGGAGCUCUGCGCUUUCAAACCGUCUUCGGACAAUUUCUGACAUCUUGACCUCAAAUCGAGUAGGACUACCCGCUGAACUUAAGCAUAUCAAUAAGAGGAGGA
rnacentral:misc_RNA from 1 species